rnacentral:lncRNA from 1 species
CCGGAUCAACUGUGCAGCUGCAGGGAACCCCUUCCCCGUGCGGGGCAGCAUAGAGCUACGCAAGCCAGACGGCACUGUGCUCCUGUCCACCAAGGCCAUUGUGGAGCCAGAGAAGACCACAGCUGAGUUCGAGGUGCCCCGCUUGGUUCUUGCGGACAGUGGGUUCUGGGAGUGCCGUGUGUCCACAUCUGGCGGCCAAGACAGCCGGCGCUUCAAGGUCAAUGUGAAAGUGCCCCCCGUGCCCCUGGCUGCACCUCGGCUCCUGACCAAGCAGAGCCGCCAGCUUGUGGUCUCCCCGCUGGUCUCGUUCUCUGGGGAUGGACCCAUCUCCACUGUCCGCCUGCACUACCGGCCCCAGGACAGUACCAUGGACUGGUCGACCAUUGUGGUGGACCCCAGUGAGAACGUGACGUUAAUGAACCUGAGGCCAAAGACAGGAUACAGUGUUCGUGUGCAGCUGAGCCGGCCAGGGGAAGGAGGAGAGGGGGCCUGGGGGCCUCCCACCCUCAUGACCACAGACUGUCCUGGCCCGCACUGCCCUCCUGACGGGACUCACGCCUGGCACCCACUACCAGCUGGAUGUGCAGCUCUACCACUGCACCCUCCUGGGCCCGGCCUCGCCCCCUGCACACGUGCUUCUGCCCCCCAGUG